GUCUUUUUAUCCAAUCUGCAACCCUGUGGCGUUUUAUGGGAGAGUUUAAGCCAUUUAGAUUGAUAGAGAUUAUUGACAGAUAUGAUUUUAAUGAUGCCAUUUCUCUUUAAAGUCUUUGUAUCGGUUGUGACUUGCUGCUCUGUAUCACUCUUGGGGCCUUUUUACCUUUAUAGAGCCCCCCUUAAUAUCUCCUGUAGGGCUGGUUUCGUGGUUACGAAAUUGGUUAAUGAUUGGCGAUUUUGGAACGUCUUUAUUUCUCCAUCAAUUCUGAAUGACAGCUUUGCUGGAUAAAGGAUCCUUGGCUGCAUGUUUUUCUCUGAAAGAGCUUUAAAAAUGCCCCCCCAAGCCUUUCUCUCAUUCCAGGUCUCUGUAGACAGGUCUGACGUAAUCCUGAUACCUUUGCCUUGGUACGUGAGAAAUUUCUUUGCCCUGGCCGCUUUCAAUACUGUAUCCUUGGAUCUAAUAUUUGCGAAUUGCACUAUGACAUGCCGUGGCGUAGGUUUGUCCUGGUUGAGCUUGGAUGGGGUCCUCUCUGCCUCUUGGACACGAAUGCUUGUUUCCCUUGCUAGAUUAGGGAAGUUUUCAGCUACAAUUUGUUCAAAUAUCUCUUCUAGACCUCUGUUUUUCUCCACCCCUUCAGGGAUGCCGAUGAUUCUGACAUUGGAUCGUUUCAUAGAGUCAGUAAUCUCCCGUAAUCUACAUUCGUGGGCGUGGAUUUUUUUAAGACCAGCUUCUAUUUUCGUUUUUUCUUCUACUAACCCAUCCUCCAAUUCGCUAACGCGUUCCUCUGCCUCGGUGACCCUGGCCGUCAGAGCCUCUAGUUUUGACUGUAUUUGGCCCAUAGAAUUUUUAAUUUCUGUCAGAUUCGCUCUCAUUUCUGCCCUUAGGGAUUCUAUAUUCUCAGCAACGCUUUCUCUGAUGCUUUUUUCAAGUUUACUCAUCAUCUUGACCAUUGUUGCUCUGAAUUCCAUUUCUGAUAAUUGGGAUACAUCCAUAUGUAUUAAUUCUGUGGCCGAGGCCAAUUCUGUGGCAGAGGCCACAGACUCAUUAUCUUUUCUUUGCUGGGGGGGACUUCUCCUUCUCGUCAUUCUGAUGAAGAGAGAUUGCAGGGUUGUCCAGAGCCCAAGUGUUGACUGGGACCCAGGCCGUGCGCCCUUGUUUUAUAGAGAUCUUAGGGAUGUGGGCUUCUUCCUUAAAGAGUUUAUUUAUUUAUUUGAGAGAGAGAGAGACAGUCAGCAAGAAAGGGAACCCAAGCAGAGGAGUGGGAGAGGAAGAAGCAGG
rnacentral:lncRNA from 1 species